AUUGAACGCUGGCGGCAGGCCUAACACAUGCAAGUCGAGCGGUAGAGAGAAGCUUGCUUCUCUUGAGAGCGGCGGACGGGUGAGUAAUGCCUAGGAAUCUGCCUGGUAGUGGGGGAUAACGCUCGGAAACGGACGCUAAUACCGCAUACGUCCUACGGGAGAAAGCAGGGGACCUUCGGGCCUUGCGCUAUCAGAUGAGCCUAGGUCGGAUUAGCUAGUUGGUGAGGUAAUGGCUCACCAAGGCGACGAUCCGUAACUGGUCUGAGAGGAUGAUCAGUCACACUGGAACUGAGACACGGUCCAGACUCCUACGGGAGGCAGCAGUGGGGAAUAUUGGACAAUGGGCGAAAGCCUGAUCCAGCCAUGCCGCGUGUGUGAAGAAGGUCUUCGGAUUGUAAAGCACUUUAAGUUGGGAGGAAGGGCAGUAAAUUAAUACUUUGCUGUUUUGACGUUACCGACAGAAUAAGCACCGGCUAACUCUGUGCCAGCAGCCGCGGUAAUACAGAGGGUGCAAGCGUUAAUCGGAAUUACUGGGCGUAAAGCGCGCGUAGGUGGUUUGUUAAGUUGGAUGUGAAAUCCCCGGGCUCAACCUGGGAACUGCAUUCAAACUGACAAGCUAGAGUAUGGUAGAGGGUGGUGGAAUUUCCUGUGUAGCGGUGAAAUGCGUAGAU
rnacentral:rRNA from 1 species